UAUAUAUAUCACAAGCAAUCUAAUCCAUCUCCUCUUAUGCCUGGCAGCUAUAUCACCUUGGUAAAGUAACCAAUGUCUAGGGUCAUUGUGCCAAAGAGUCAUCCAUUAGUGACAAGAAUGACUGGAAAACUGUUUCCAACGCCUUUUCUGUCAUUGAUUUUACUGAAGCUGACCUCGAGAAUCUCUUUGGAAUUAUUGCCAGUGUCUUACACCUGGGGAACAUUGGUUUUGAAGAAGACGACCAAGGCUGUGCCACUAUCCCAGACACCCAUGAGAUCAAGUGGAUAGCCAAGCUCCUGGGGGUCCACCCAUCAGUCCUUCUGGAAGCUCUCACCCACAGAAAAAUUGAAGCCAAAACUGAGGAGGUGAUCUGCCCGUUGACACUAGAACUCUCUGUCUACGCUAGAGAUGCAAUGGCAAAGGCUGUUUAUGGACGAACGUUUACUUGGCUGG
rnacentral:lncRNA from 1 species